CGACAGAAUGGCAAGUAUUACAUACGGAUUAUUUAACAAAAAAUAUGAGAUUUGAUAUACAAUUUAAUGUGCAUUUAAUUGAGUUUGUUAUUAUUGUUCAAGCAGGCAUCAUGAUACAGUACCAUAAUCAGGAGAAUUAUGUUGAAGCCUCACCCCUAAUCUGAGCAACACUUUAUUGAUGGCUUCAGCUGAGGCGACGUCCCCUAAUCACACUUAGAUUUGAGACUGAGACACCACUGUAAUAUUAUUAUCAUUAUGGGACUUUCAUUGAAGAGAAAAUGGAACGAGACCAGAUCAAGCUCACAGAGAUGUGUACAAAUAAGCAAAUGAACAUUGGAAGGCAGCUGUCCUUCAGCAUUCAGGUACUUCAGGUUUUGUUGCUGUUACUGGAAAAGGCAGGUUUUGUCAUGAUGCUAAUGUUCCUACCAGCAUUUUAACUUUUUUAGCGUGCCUUUCUUGGUCACCCACUCAGGCUGCAGAAUGUAAAUUCAAGUUGAUAAAACACUCUUUCUGUGAUGUUUGGCAGGAGGAAUGUUACAGCUUUUUUUUUUUUUUUAUCCUUUUUUAAAAUAAAAAAGUCUUCAUAUAUUUGUAUCUUUGGUAUACUUUUUUAUCUUUGGUGAAAUGUGCAAAAAUGAGUCACAAUAAACAUGAGUAUUAAAUCAGA